rnacentral:rRNA from 1 species
AUUCCAGCUCCAAUAGCGUAUAUUAAAGUUGUUGCAGUUAAAAAGCUCGUAGUUGGAUUUCUGGGAGGGUGCCGCCGUCCGGCGUGUCCGUGUGCAGUGGCGCCCUUCCAUCCUUCUGUUAGCGUCUCUUGGCAUUCAUUUGCUGGUGGCGGGCUCAGAUAUUUUACCUUGAGAAAAUUAGAGUGUUUCAGGCAGGCUAGGCCGGAAUACAUUAGCAUGGAAUAAUGGAAUAGGACUACGGUCUCUCUGUUGGUUUGAGGGACUGCAGUAAUGAUUAAUAGGGAUAGUUGGGGGCAUUAGUAUUUAAUUGUCAGAAGUGAAAUUCUUGGAUUUGUUAAAGACGGACUACUGCGAUAGCAUUUGCCAAGGAUGUUUUCAUCG